rnacentral:rRNA from 1 species
GAUGAACGCUGGCGGCGUGCUUAACACAUGCAAGUCGAACGGUGAACACGGAGAUUGCUCUGUGGGAUCAGUGGCGAACGGGUGAGUAACACGUGAGCAACCUGCCCCUGACUCUGGGAUAAGCGCUGGAAACGGCGUCUAAUACUGGAUAUGUGACGUGACCGCAUGGUCUGCGUUUGGAAAGAUUUUUCGGUUGGGGUUGGGCUCGCGGCCUUUCAGCUUGUUGGUGAGGUAAUGGCUCACCAAGGCGUCGACGGGUAGCCGGCCUGAGAGGGUGACCGGCCACACUGGGACUGAGACACGGCCCAGACUCCUACGGGAGGCAGCAGUGGGGAAGAUUGCACAAUGGGCGCAAGCCUGAUGCAGCAACGCCGCGUGAGGGAUGACGGCCUUCGGGUUGUAAACCUCUUUUAGCAGGGAAGAAGCGAAAGUGACGGUACCUGCAGAAAAAGCGCCGGCUAACUACGUG